AUUGAACGCUGGCGGCAGGCCUAACACAUGCAAGUCGAACGGUAACAGGGAUCUGCUUGCUGAUUCGCUGACGAGUGGCGGACGGGUGAGUAAUGUCUGGGAAACUGCCUGAUGGAGGGGGAUAACUACUGGAAACGGUAACUAAUACCGCAUAACGUCGCAAGACCAGAGAGGGGGACCUUCGGGCCUCUUGCCAUCGGCUGUGCCCAGAUGGGAUUAUCGUGUGGGUGGGGUAACGGCCCACCUAGGCGACGAUCCGGAGCUGGUCGGAGAGGAUGAGCAGACACAAGGGAAGUGAGACAGGGCACAGACGCCUACGGGAGGGAGCAGUGGGGAAUAUUGGACAAGGGGCGAAAGCAUGAGAAAGCAAGGGCGCGUGUGUGAGGAAGGACUUCGGGUUGGAAAGAAGGUGUGGCGGGAAAGAAGGGGACUAGGCGAAUACCACGGGGCAAUGAGGGUACCCACAGAAUAAGCAACGGCUAACUAAGUG
rnacentral:rRNA from 1 species